rnacentral:lncRNA from 1 species
UCCCCAUACUCUGUCCGGUAUGAGUGGCAAAUUAUUAAACCUCAAUACCCCAUCCGGUAUGAGGGUGAAGCGGGCCGUCCCCAUACCCCGUCCGAUAUGAGCGCCAAAUUACCAAAUCUCUAUACCCCGUUUGGUAUAAGACAACGUUCAAGGUAGGGUUCCCUAUGUACCGGUCCGUCCAUCAUCUUCCAUGAUAUCUAGUAAGGUGUCGUUCCAUAUAUUUAUUUAACCACACAACUUU